rnacentral:rRNA from 1 species
AUUGAACGCUGGCGGCAGGCCUAACACAUGCAAGUCGAGCGGAUGAAGGGAGCUUGCUCCUGGAUUCAGCGGCGGACGGGUGAGUAAUGCCUAGGAAUCUGCCUGGUAGUGGGGGAUAACGUCCGGAAACGGGCGCUAAUACCGCAUACGUCCUGAGGGAGAAAGUGGGGGAUCUUCGGACCUCACGCUAUCAGAUGAGCCUAGGUCGGAUUAGCUAGUUGGUGGGGUAAAGGCCUACCAAGGCGACGAUCCGUAACUGGUCUGAGAGGAUGAUCAGUCACACUGGAACUGAGACAUGGUCCAGACUCCUACGGGAGGCAGCAGUGGGGAAUAUUGGACAAUGGGCGAAAGCCUGUUCCAGCCAUGCCGCGUGUGUGAAGAAGGUCUUCGGAUUGUAAAGCACUUUAAGUUGGGAGGAAGGGCAGUAAGUUAAUACCUUGCUGUUUUGACGUUACCAACAGAAUAAGCACCGGCUAACUUCGUG